ACAUUCUUGGGCUAUUUUCUCUGUAAGAGUGAAGCCUCUGAACAGACGACCGUUCUCUUCUGCUGAUCACAAAGACUUUUCUCCGUCCUGACCCUGACGAGCUGCAGGAUCUUUCCCUCUGACUCAGUCUCACCAGAGCUCACACACACACAGAGACACUGGGUGGUUGGAAAAAUCAUGACGAUUAAUAAUGGCCUUCGUGAAACGCUCGUUAUCCUAACAAAGCGAGGCAGCUUGACCUCAGAUAUUUAAAGAAACUGUUUCUCUGUGUUUUAUUGAUGUUGGCGGCGUUUGUGUUGCUCCGUGCUCGUUUCUGUGGCGUCACAAACGCUUUUGUCCACUUCUGUGGCGUCUGAAGUUAGCGUGGGAGCUUUUCAUUGUUCCACCAAAAAAACCUGCCAGACUCCAGCUUUCAUCUGUGUAUGUAGCUUCAACUAAUAGCUGCUUAGCUUAGCAUACAUAAUGUAGGUGAUGACAAAUAUGAAGUUGGAGUCAUCAUUAGAGGGCAAGAUUAGCUUAAUGUAGCUGGUACCAGCAGAUGGCUAGCUUAGCCUAGUGUUAAUAUGGCAUUGAAGCCUGUAGAUGGCUAGCUCAUGCUACCCUUCUAAAGUUAGACACAACCAGCUCUCCUACAGUUCAUGAAGUGGCUUUUAAAUUCAAAUGUAGCUGGAGCCAUAUGCUGGCUAGCUUAGCUUAGCAUAGCUAUGCAGGUAAGGCCACCAGAUGGCUUAGUUAACUUAGCAUAAAUAUGUAGCUGGUACGAGCAUAUAGGUAGCUUACAGUAGCUUAGUGUAAACAUGGCAUUGAAGCUAAACGAUGGCUAGCUCAUUUAAGCUAAACAUCGAGACAAGGAACGGCUAGCUAGCCUUUUAUCUGUCAGACACGAUUAGCUCUCCUACUGUUCAGGAAGUAGAUUUAGUUUAUAUGUUGCUGGAAUCAGACUCUGGUUAGCUUAGCUUAGCAUAACGUCAUAGGGUUAGGGUUAGGAGUCAGCAGACGGCUAGCUUAGUUUAUGGUUAAAAUAGCUAAUGAGGAAAAUAUUAUAGGCCCGGUUUGUGUAUAUAAUUAAUCCUGAGCUCUAAGAUGAUGACGUAACGAUAAGAAUAAAAUGAUUGCAUGUAAACAGUGAGAUUAAAACGAUUCAUAUUCUGAUUAAAAACACGUACGUGGUUUAAAACGUGGAAGUCAUUUGUCAUGAAGGAAAAUAUUGCUCAUAGAUUAUUGCUCAUAAUCUGAGUCCAGUGAGUCAGACAAACAGGAAAUAAACUGUCAGUAAAUUAAAGGACUUUUUUUUUUUUUUUAAUUAUGAGCUCGCAAAUCUCUGUAAUUCUGUGUGUGUGUGUGUGUGUGUGUGUGACUGACUGACCGUGGGCUUGUGCGGCUGAACUGUGCGAGUAUCCGAGUGCGAGCAGCGCCGUCUCCACCAGCUGAGAGAAGAGGAUGUCCUUCCUGACGAGGACAAACUCGGCGUGCUCCUCCCGUCCCUCGCAGCCGUCCGUCUGAACGCCGCCGUCCAUCUGCUCCACCACGCAGAAGACGGGAAUCAUCAGACCUGUGAGAGGACGGGAGCACAACAAAAAUAACCCCUUCAAUGAUCGACGCUGCCCUCUAGAGGAAGUAUAGACGGGCCUUUACCUCCCAGCGGUCUCAGCGGCGCUCCGUUGUGGCGUAUGCGCGGCCCGGUGGGGCUGCCGUUGAGCUCCAGUCGUCCCUUCUUCCCCGGCGGUGGGAGGCCGCUGAGGUCCGGGCUGCUCCCCCUCCGCUCUGGACUGUCCUGCGUGAUGGGACUGUCCCCUCCUCGCUCCAUCCUCCUCCACAACCCCAGAGGAGCCCCAGCCAGAGAGAGCGAGUCUGCGCACAGCGUCUCCACGGUGACGGAGUUCAUGAACAUUUCAGUCAAAGUCUUUGUGUUGUUGACGAGUUUUACAGGAUGUCACAUUGUGUUUUUUUUCCCGCGUCGCAUGUUUUUGACGAGUUUUACUGUGUAACGAGGUCACUGUUUUAUAACA